UACGAAGGGUGCAAACGUUGCUCGGAAUUAUUGGGCGUAAAGCGCACGUAGGCGGCAUUGCAAGUCGGAUGUGAAAUCCCUCGGCUUAACCAAGGAAGUGCAUCCGAAACUGCAGUGCUUGAGUACGAAAGAGGAUCGCGGAAUUCCCGGUGUAGAGGUGAAAUUCGUAGAUAUCGGGGAGGAACACCAGUCGGCGGAAGGCGGAGCGUCUGGGCAGACGACUGACGCUGAGGUGCGAAAGCGAUGGGGAGCAAACAGGGGAUUAAGAUGAUCCCGG
rnacentral:rRNA from 1 species